UGCCCCCAAUACCACCCUGAAUGCGCCAGGUCUCGCCUGGUCUCUGAAGCUAAGAAGGGUGGGGCCUGGUUAUCACUUGGAUGGGAUGGUGA
rnacentral:rRNA from 1 species